rnacentral:rRNA from 1 species
AUUGAACGCUAGCGGGAUGCCUUACACAUGCAAGUCGAACGGAGUGGCGAACGGGUGAGUAAUGUAAAGGAACGUGCCCAGUAGCGGGGGAUAACUACGAGCAAGCGGAGCUAAUACCGCAUACUAUUGGAGCGGCCGAGAGCGGAUUAGCUAGGUGGUGGGGUAACGGCUCACCAAGGCGACGAUCCGUAGCUGGUUUGAGAGGACAACCAGCCACAUUGGGACUGAGACACGGCCCAGACUCCUACGGGAGGCAGCAGUGGGGAAUUUUGGACAAUGGGCGAAAGCCUGAUCCAGCCAUCCCGCGUGUAUGAUGAAGGCCUUCGGGUUGUAAAGCACUUUUAGCAGGAAAGCGUUACCUGCAGAAGAAGCACCGGCUAACUACGUGCCAGCAGCCGCGGUAAUUC